rnacentral:tRNA from 1 species
AGGGAGACAACACAAUGAUUUUGAUGCCUGAGUAUUUUUAUUCUUAGGCCGAAAUCCUGUCACCUUAGGUCGAUCGGUACCUCAGAUUUGAAAUCAAGAAUCAGCAGCAAUGUUGAUUGCUUGAUGGAGAUUUUCAGUUCCUAAACUUUGUCUAGGUCACACCCCAAAAGGGAUGAGACUCCUGGGCCAUUAGCUCAGGUGGUUAGAGCGCACCCCUGAUAAGGGUGAGGUCCCUGGUUCAAGUCCAGGAUGGCCCAUUCGGUGUUGGGGGUUUAGCUCAGUUGGUAGAGCGCCUGCUUUGCAAGCAGGAUGUCAGGAGUUCGAGUCUCCUAACCUCCACUGACCGAACUUUAUUCCCAUCUCCAAUUUAUUGGAGUUGAGCUCGAUUGGUGUGUGAUUUAGAUAUGUCCGCUGGAUGACCCCAGCUUCCUGUCAUUCCAAGUUUUAAGUUUGAAGCUUUGAAUUUGGUUGAUAAGAUGCUGGGCUCGGAUCAAAUAAUCAAGCAAUUGAUGAUUUGAUUUGAAGUUCUAGCAGAACCUUGACAACUGCAUAGGUGAAGUCUGGAAAAACAAAGCAUCUUACAGAUGCAUUGUUUUGAGUCUAAUCUUCUGAAAGGAAGUUUAGAUCCAGAACAAUGAAAAUUCUUUUGAGCAAGAGCCGAGACUCUUGAAUGUUCUUUGAUUCGUGUCGAGCGAAUCAGAGUUUGAUCUUGUUUUUAGCAAUAAAAACUUGAGAAUCUGCUUUCAACGGCGGUAAGCGUUCAAGAGGUUAAUU